rnacentral:rRNA from 1 species
UACGUAGGUGGCGAGCGUUGUCCGGAAUCAUUGGGCGUAAAGAGCGCGUAGGCGGCUUGUCAGGUCUGAUGUGAAAUCUUGGGGCUCAACUCCAAGCGUGCAUCGGAAACCGGCUGGCUAGAGUUUGGGAGAGGAGAGUGGAAUUCCUGGUGUAGCGGUGAAAUGCGUAGAUAUCAGGAGGAACACCAGUAGCGAAGGCGGCUCUCUGGAACAGUACUGACGCUGAGGCGCGAAAGCUAGGGGAGCAAACAGG